rnacentral:rRNA from 1 species
UACGUAGGGUCCGAGCGUUGCCCGGAAUUAUUGGGCGUAAAGGGUAGGUAGGUGGUCUCGUUUGUCUGGGGUGAAAGCCUUGAGCUUAACUCAAGAAGUGCCCCAGAAACGGCGAGACUGGAGUCUUGGAGAGGGUCGUGGAAUUCCCGGUGUAGCGGUGAAAUGCGUAGAGAUCGGGAGGAACACCAGCGGCGAAGGCGGCGACCUGGACAAGUACUGACACUCAACUACGAAAGCGUGGGGAGCAAACAGG